rnacentral:tRNA from 1 species
GGAGGGGUCGGAUAGAGGUUUAUUCCAGUGGACUUGAAAUCCACCGUACCGCAAGGUACCGCGAGUUCGAAUCUCGCCCCCUCCG